ensembl:lncRNA
GUGCAGGGUAACUAAACCCAUGCAUCCAGAGCCCCGUCCUCUGCAACAAGAGACACCACGGCAGCACAGACCCCUCUGCUCACCGCAUUUAGAGAAAAGCCCACGUGGAGUAAAUGAAGAUCUAUCGCAGCCAAAAACAAAUAGAUUUUUUUUUUUUAAAGAGAGGUUAACACAUACUCAUUGAAAAAGUUAAAACUGUCCUUUGCACUUAUUUCCACUUUUCAAUAGACUUACAGACUUUACAUAUAGAAGGGGUGUCACCUGAUUGGAAAGAGGGACUUAACCAUAGAGAGAGGAGCCACCAUCACCCACCCCAGAGGCCCAGAGCAGGGCGGUGGUGGUGUGCCUCUGCGUUCACGGCAUCCUUUUUCCCUGCUCCAUUCUGGUUCCACGUGAAGUUGCUGCUCUGGAAAUAUGAGUCCCUGGAGAUGGCAACACCACCGUACUUGACCCAUGCAAGGACGCUGAGUCUCAAGGAGGUUACAGAACUGCCCGGAGGUCACUCUGCUCGAGGGAGGCAGACCUGAUCCACACCCAGAUCUGUCCAGACCCCAAAGCCCUCAGUCCUGGAGACCAAGUCACCUUACUACUCAGCCUGCUUCCGGACGGCCUUCCAAUAUGGGGACAUUACUUUAAUUCUGUGGGAUGACGCUGUGAGGCAGAACAGGGGAUGUUAACUCUGGACAUAGUGACCUGAAUGAAAUUAUGAGGCCACUACAGUGAAGACGGUCAACACCACCCCUCCCUGCACUCAACCGUUCCAUGGCCUCACGGCAGGUGCAGGGAGAUUGCAGCAGAGACUGCUGAUGCCAGCGGGGGAGGAAAGGUCAGGGUGGUUACAUGAGGGAGGGGUAGCCCAGAGCUGAAGGUUCCAUCCCUCGGAUCCCCCAUUUCCCUCAUCUAACCAGUGGUUCUAACAAUAGUGUCCGCCUUACAGGGGCAAAUUUUGAAAGUAACCUGCUCAGUCAGGAGAGAACAGACUAGUCAAAGCAAGGCCGGCCACAUCCUGACUAGGCGCCUGCUGUCAGCCCAACCCCAGGUCCAACGAUGAAUCAGGUGUAAGCAAUGAAGCUGAAAAUGACUCAAGGCUGGGCCUCCAGGGUUUAUGACAGACUGAGUAGAACUACUGAUGUGAUGCAGCAGUAACUCCACAGAGAGGGCAACAGGUAGACACAGUGAUAGGACAGUAUCUGUGAGCAAAGGGAUCUUGAGAGAAAUUUCCUACAGAGGCAACAGGAUGUGGUUUAGACUGGGCUGGUUUUACGGAGAUGAGAUUUCAGGAGCUUGGAGGGCUGAGUAUAUAACGCACAGGAGAUUCCAGGAGGCAAUUCCAAGACAAGUAGGAUCAGCUGUCCAGCACUUCCUGCUCCUACAGAAGGGGAAGAAGACAGCAAGCGCCCUAUUUAGGGAUCUAAAUAUGGCAGUAAUAGUCAGUCAAAGUUGCUCAGUUGUGUCUGACUCUUUGCGACCCCAUGGACUAUAGAGUCCAUGGACUUCUCCAGGCCAGAAUACUGCAGUGGGUAGCCUUUCCCUUCUCCAGGGGAUCUUCCCAACCCAGGGAUCGAACUCAGAUCUCCUGCAUUGCAGGUGGAUUCUUUACCAGCUGAGCCACAAGAGAAGCCCAAGAAUACUGGAGACUGGGUAGCCUAUCCCUUCUCCAGGGGAUCUUCCCCACCCAGGAAUUGAACUGGGAUCUCCUGCAUUG